AUUGAACGCUGGCGGCAGGCCUAACACAUGCAAGUCGAACGAGUGGCGGACGGGUGAGUAAUGCCUGGGAAACUGCCUGAUGGAGGGGGAUAACCACUGGAAACCGUAGCUAAUACCCCAUAUCACCAGAUGUGCCCAGAUGGGAUUAGCUAGUAGGUAAGGUAACGGCUCACCUAGGCGACGAUCCCUAGCUGGUCUGAGAGGAUGACCAGCCACACUGGAACUGAGAAACGGUCCAGACUCCUACGGGAGGCAGCAGUGGGGAAUAUUGCACAAUGGGCGAAAGCCUGAUGGAGCAAUGCCGCGUGUAUGAAGAAGGCCUUCGGGUUGUAAAGUACUUUCAGCGGGGAGGCGUUACCUAAAGAGGAAGCACCGGCUAACUCCGUGCCAGCAGCCGCGGUAAUAC
rnacentral:rRNA from 1 species